AUCUGAAUGUUGAGGAGCAACGCUGAGAAUGUCCACAGAAGGAGAAUCUGAUGAAUGAGCUGGUGGCUAAAAGAAGAGAUUAGCAUCAGAGGAAGCAACAACACCAGCCUGACGUGGGGCAGAGGAGCAUCUCGGCUGGCAGCGUGGACUCACAGAAGCAGGCAGGAUGGAUGUGGGCACCCAGACCCAGCCAGCCUCAGCUCAGCAAGGAGAUACCACAAGUUCCAGUGCAACACAACAGCUAUGGAAGAAUUUUUCCUUGAAGUUCCUCAAGCCGUGCCGGCCAGGGACAAAGCCCCG
ensembl:lncRNA